UUUAGUUCUUAAACUGGUAAAUUUGACAAGUUUUAAACUUGUAAAUGUAGUAAUUACAGAGCAUCAACAGGAAGGCCUAACAAUGUUCCCUGUCUUCUGUAAACUGUUAAUGCUUUGGAGCAAAUAGUGAGGCUCUGAAACCAGAGCUGUUCCCGGGAUACUCUGAUAUCCCACUGGGUAGGGGAAGAGUUGUUGCUCUGGGCCCGUGAGCUCUUGAGGUUGUGUUGCUGGUUGAUUGUUUUGGUCCUCUCUCCUCUUGAACAGGGACCAUGCCCAAGAAAGAUAAUAAUAAAUAAAGAAGGCAAAGUGAAUUACAUGCAGCUGAAGAAGGAUUUUGACCAGAAAAAGGCAACAAUACAGUUUCAUCAGCCUCAGAGAUUUAAGGAGGAGCUGUGGAAGAUUUUCAGGAGAAGCUGGAGUGCUACUUUGGGUCUCUGGUGGGGUCCAAUGUUUCCAUCACUGCCCAGGGAUCCCAGGGCCUUCCUCCUCACUAUGAUGAUGUUGAGCCAGGUGACUUACUGUACUUCCCAAGAGGGACCAUCCACCAAGCUGACACUCCUCUUGGGACCUCCCAUUCCACACACGUGACCAUCAGUACCUACCAAAACAAGUAAUUAUUCUUUAUCUUUUGUUUUGUGUGGCUUUCCUCUGCCAAGUGAUGUGUGUGAGCAGUACAGACCUGAGAUGUGGUGAAGUUUUGGGGCUUGGGGGAAGGAGGGGAGCAAGAAGACUGUUGUUGUUUGAAGCAGCCUGUUUGAGAGGUUUUCAUGCAGCAAGCUUGAUUGCUUUUUAAUUGCUUAUUUUAUUAUUUACCAGCUGUAGGCUUUAAUGGGGAAAAUGCUACAACUGCAAACUCACUUCUGUAUUUAAAAAAAUCUCUCAUCAGUGGCUGAAGUUACUGUUCAUUUCAUAGCUCAGAUAAAGAGUCAUGAGUUACUCCUUUCAUCAUGUUUUCUCCUGUAUUUGAUAGUCACCUGCACUAAUCUUCUCACAGAUUUGCUGCCAAUUCUUCCUUGCAAACCUUUUCUGCUUAUCUGUGGUUUUUUU